GGUGGGAGCUGUGGGCACAGGCAAGCACCGGGCCACGGUCUAGGCCACCUGCUCACGACGUGUGGGGCCUUCCAGAGCCGCUGCAGGUCCAUCAGAGGCAGAGCCUCCCUUGUCCUGAAGGGCACCACGCUCAGUCUCGUGUCACCACGGAUGUGGCCGUGUCCUGGGGCCAGCAGUGCUGCCCAUCACCCAGGGACGGCCUCACACACGUGUCCUCGCCCCCUAGGUGUCCCCGGGCGUCAUCGCCAACCCCUUUGCUGGCAUCGGCCGCCGGAACAGCCUGGAGAGCGUCUCCUCCAUCGACCGGGAGCUGAGCCCUGAAGGCCCCACCAAGGAGAAGGAGCUGCCUGGACAGACGCCGCAGUGGGGGCCGGAGACCACGGUACCAACUGGGGCGGCUGGAGGGAAGAUGGCGGACACUCCUCGCUCCCCCGGCCUCCAGCAGACAAAACCCGGGGUGAUCCAGCCACUGGCUCAGGCCUGGCCAAGGGGCUCCCCGGCCCCCAGGGACAGAGGCAAUUCCUGCUCUGUGAGUGCCCUGACCGGCGGGCCGGGGGGAGGUCAGAGCUCAGUGAGCAGCUGCGGGCCGGUGGGUG